rnacentral:rRNA from 1 species
AUACGGAGGGGGUUAGCGUUGUUCGGAAUUACUGGGCGUAAAGCGCACGUAGGCGGACUGGAAAGUUGGGGGUGAAAUCCCGUGGCUCAACCCCGGAACUGCCUCCAAAACUUCCAAUCUAGAGAUCGAGAGAGGUGAGUGGAAUUCCAAGUGUAGAGGUGAAAUUCGUAGAUAUUUGGAGGAACACCAGUGGCGAAGGCGGCUCACUGGCUCGAUACUGACGCUGAGGUGCGAAAGCGUGGGGAGCAAACAGGAUUAGAAACCCUAGUAGUCC